CUUGAUCAUGGGCGGCAGUUGGCUGGGUCUGGCGUACGCGGUGGCAGGUCUUGCCUGUGGCGUUGUCGGUGCAGUGCCGUCGGUGAUGG
rnacentral:tRNA from 1 species